rnacentral:lncRNA from 1 species
AGCGAUUAAAUGAGGAGCUGGGUCUUGCAAGGGAUCGACAAACACUUCAAGGAAGCCCUUCCGUCUGUUCCUCUAGCUGACAGAGGAGUCCGGGAGAGAGCGCCUCGUGCAUCACGCGUUUUCUUCAAAGUUUUCCGUGCCCGCUGUGCAAAGGACCGAAUCUUGCUGCCGCAGCGGGGGUUGAAGCGCUCAGAUACCGCGCCAGGUUGCAUCUCUUUAGCGAGACUGUCGUCUAAGUUGCCAUCGGCACUAUCCUUCCCUCGAAACUGUCGACAAAAUGAGUCAAUGCCUCUCUCCCAACGGCGCCGCUGUUCACAGUGGUGUUCGCCAUGCCGUCGUUCUCGGCGCAGCUUUGCUGUUCGUGGCAGUGGCGUGCCAGGUAGGAGGCUCGCAAAUCGCCCCAAGCGCCACUAACGUCGCGGUCAAGGAAGCUCAAGAAGCAGCCCCAGCCCCUGCCGCAGUUCCAACCGUGGAUGCGUAAGGAGCGCUCAAAGAAGUGUGUGCUCGAGGUCCAAGCCCUCGCAGAGCCACCGAGAGUUAUUUACGAUGUGUAACCGUGUAAACCGCCGUCGCUGUGGAGUUGCGUCAAAUACUGGCGAUGCUCCAUUUCUCCCGCGCCGCGACUUUAGAUCUCAACGCUGCCGGGAGAGCGAGGUCCGAGAGGCAAAAGAGUGGGUGGCCGAGAUCCCGCCAGAAUCGAAGAAGCCAUGUCGCGGCAUCCCGUCACUCUGUUGCCGAAUCUCAGGGGCGCUCAACGCGUCGCACAAGGAAGAAACGGACUGCUUUGUCGUACGCCGCGCUCGCACUGGAGCUCGCGUUCUACGCGUGCAUCGUCUACUUCACGUACACUCAAGUGGAGUGCUACG